CAAUGACAGAGUGGAGAAUAGGGUUUGUCUCUCAGAGAUGGGGACUUUCCUGGCGAUGAUGACUGAUGUGCCUGAUGACUAAGGCACAGAUGACUGAAAAGACUCAGAGGUAGAAGUCAGUGAAGAUGAAGAAAUCCAGAACUCGGAGACCAGCACUGUGAGAGGGAACUGAGCAAGGAUACUGACACGCCUGGGAAGAGGGCAACCUCAGGCUGGAGGAGAACCCUGGAGCCCCAGCCCUCAGUGAAUUUUCUGGGGGACUUAAAGGAGGGGCAGAAGACAGAACACGUGGAUAGCAGGAGCCUCGAAGGAGAAGGUGAUCAGGGUUAAGCAGAAAUGGCAACGCCUACCCCACAGAGGCUAAAUCAGUGUAUUCCUGUGUGAGUGUGGACUCUCCGUGAAGAUGACAGUACCAGUGCAGACUCCAGCAAUCAAGCAGGAUCGCCAUCGGUGACUUCUCAAGUUACAUUGUAGCUGACCACCUUCUUGAUGGAGACUCUGUGGAUUGGACUUAGGGAAGGCGAGAACAGUGAUAUAAGGAGCCCUCUUGUGCACCACUUCAAAUCCUUUUAGCUCUUACUCCAGCCACUGCUUUGGUAACCAGCUUUGCACAGACGUCAACCAGUUCUUUGCCUGUACAACAUGACAGUGCCUUGUCUUGGGCCCAGUGCUACAUAUGUCUUAGUCUGUCCUUGAUGCUGUUGGCACGUACACAGGUGUAACCCAAAAUACAGGGAGGUUUAAGGUUUGUGGGGUAUUCUUACAGUCUAAGGCUCAGAUCAAUGGAGGAUGCAAGCCAAAGGAUAAAUCGUUCCUCUUUCAUCCCCCAAGCACACAGCUCUGAGAUGCAUGCAUGAGACUUACUAGAAAGUCCUCUAGUUUGAGCACCCGUCGCAGAUAGCCUGGCCAACUCACGAACACAGCCAUCCUUCCCUGUUUCAUUUCCUUGUUCUUCACUCUUGCUCCCAGAGACACAUUCCCAAAUAAACUGCCCACGUGAAAGCCUUUGUCUCAGUCUCUGUUUUGGAGGAAACUAAGAUAAGAUGCAUGGCCACACCUAAUAACUGCAGAAGAGGCUGGAGAAAUCACAUCACAGGGCAGCUAUAUGUCCAGUUUCCAUUACUACGGAAGACGAGGGAGCAGAUUUGGUGGCCAGCUAGCAGUCUCCACUCCAGCAGGAAAGUGCUGAAACAUUUGACAGACGCCCCAGCCAAAGAGUUAAAAAUAAUAGAAGUUUUGAUGCUUAAAAGGAUAAGUAGUACAACUACCAUUGUCCAAAGAGAAGAGGACAUUUCCUUGGCUGUGACCAGCAGAGUGGAGAGAGAAGAGGAGAAUGCCAAGGGUCAGAUGGCUGGAAUGUGACCACACUUAGCUACCAGGAAGGAAAGGAUGAGCCAUUAAAGGAGAAAAAC
rnacentral:lncRNA from 1 species